rnacentral:lncRNA from 1 species
GGCGAUUGUAAUGGAAAAUCAUUUAAAAAUUGAGUAGAAGUAUGAAAUUGUGAAGCAAUAAAAGGUAGUAACCUACUACUACGAAUCAACAACAUAACAUAGAUAAAUUCCGAAAAGGCAUAAUAAUUUACAAAGAUAGAACAAAUUGAAGUUGGCAGCAACCACAACCCAACUAAUAAUAAUAAUAAACAAAACAAACAAGAUAUGACAUGACAUCACAUGACAGAACAGGCGGUGGGAUUUUCGUCGCUGAAAGCGGUGGUGUAGCGAACUUCGGUGGAACUAGCACGCGCUAGAUGGGAUCCAGAAUACUGAUUGUUGUCGUAGUUGUUUCUGACAUAACCGGAGGGUGCUUUCUUGUCGUACGUACCUUGUGCAUAUGGGUGUGCAACGACGUCGUAUGGAACAUAUGGCCAUAUCUCAGCCCUCUUACCAGUGCGGUGAGCUAUACGCGCCACCACUUUGUUAGGUUCAACAUACCCCUGAACAGUGACCUUGUGUGCUUUCCUAUCAAUAUCAACUUGGUUCACACCUUUCAUUCCUUCCACCGACCUUCUCACUUUUCUCUCGCAUCCUUCGCAGUCCAUCUUCACUUUCACUUCCACCGUCUGUAUACAGUAUAUUAUUCAUUUCUAUUACUACUUUAAUAAUAAUAACAUAUGAAUGGAUCUAUUAUUACUUACCUGUAAUUGUUUGCGGUGUUUGUGCGAACUUCCACCGGAGCAGUCAAAUAGCUCAGAAAUGUGAUCCAUGGCACCCAUAUUAUUAUCUCUUUCUUACUCCAAGUGAAUGAGUGAG